rnacentral:rRNA from 1 species
GAAUUUUGGACAAUGGGCGCAAGCCUGAUCCAGCCAUGCCGCGUGGGUGAUGAAGGCCUUCGGGUUGUAAAGCCCUUUCACCGGGGACGAUGAUGACGGUACCCGGAGAAGAAGCACCGGCUAACUCCGUGCCCGCAGCCGCGGUAAGACGGAGGGUGCUAGCGUUGUUCGGAAUCACUGGGCGUAAAGGGCGCGUAGGCGGCGCCGCAAGUCGGCUCGUGAAAGCCCGGGGCUCAACCCCGGAGGUGCGGCCGGGACUGCGGUGCUCGAGGUCGGAAGAGGAGGGUGGAAUACCCAGUGUAGAGGUGAAAUUCGUAGAUAUUGGGUGGAACACCGGUGGCGAAAGCGGCUCUCUGGUCCGACUCUGACGCUGAGGCGCGAAAGCGUGGGGAGCAAACAGG